ACGCCGCUCUCAACUGGUUGGGUCAGAUGCGUUCACACUAUCGCAUGGAGCGCGAGCUCACAGGACGGCAACCCACCGAAUUACAGCAGGUCUUGCGCGCAGCAUCUAUCCUCAAGGGAAAAGCUAGAUCCCUUUGGAUGACAGCUGAGAAGUUGAACGCGGAAGCGCCUGACAAGCAUGGGUUACCACGGAAGUGGGACGAUUUCGCAAGAUGGAUCCUGCAUAACUUCGAGGAACUAGACGCCAAAGACAAACGUUACGAACGCUUCGUAGAAUGCAAGCAAGAAGGAGACCUCGCAUCGUACUACAUCCAUUUCAGCUUGCGUUAUCUUGCGAUGAAUCAAGAGCUCCCGACACCUUUCUGUCUACAAACCUUCGUACACGGCUUAGACACCGACCUAUACGCCGAGUGGAAGUGUCUUAACCCACAGCCACAGACGGUGGAGGAAACGUACGAAACACUACUCUCGAGGGA
rnacentral:sRNA from 1 species